CAUAUCUUCUCUAAACAUCCCAGCUAGCGUAAAUAUGCUUUACCUUGGGAUGGCAUGAUCUGACCAUGACUUACCAUUCACUUAUGCUCCCUGAAUCCCUCAGGAAUUGCACAUGAUUUGUACAGCCAUGAUUCUGCAGCUCUGAGCAAAGAGUCAGGUAAUAAUGCCGGUUCACUGCAGUGCUCUUGACAGAGCAUAAUGAGACCUUCAGGAGCUGAAGGGCCAUGGAAAGGCCAUUGGGAUGAAGCCAGAGAUGGCUUUUGGUGGGAGGGGAUCUGCCAGCUUCCCUGGUGUGUAUCCUCUCAGAGCACAUGCACUGAAGACAAGAGGUAAAGGCCAGUUACAGUAAAAAGGAAUCAAAGAAGGUAAAAGCAAGCUGUGAGAGACCCCCCGGUGGCCCUGCAGAGACCCCCUGGCAGCCCAGGACAUGCAUGCUGGAGGGAGGAGAUAAUGCAGAUCAGUUCCAGGUACCUCCAUGCCCUUUUGGAGAAGAGGCAGAGACAUCAAUCAUAAAAAGAGCUAUGGCCUGACAGCACGCUGAAGAUCUUCUCCACUGACUGUAGUUGCCAGACCUUCAGGACACCACUGGAUCCUUCAUAUUUCUGCUACCUUCUUGACUUUCCUUUUGUCUUCCUAUCCUAUCUGCAUGUGACAUUGUUGUUAUGUAACUAAUACAUUUUGGCGUGUAUGUGACAUUUGACUUCACCUGUGUCUUAAUUUUGCCACUGGGAUCAUUUUGAAUCUCUCUCAAUCUGAUAAUGGCUCGAGACACAUGCUAAUUAAAGUACUGUCCACACUAUCAUUGCUUUUUACUUUGUAUGGAAUAGAAUAUAUUUCUCUUUGUUAUCAACUUUUUUUUCCACCACAAAAAAAAAAGAAGCUGAGUAUCUCGUUCCCAUGAUGGUCUCAUGUGCCAAGUGCAACUUGCUUCCCAUGCUUUUAUCCUUCAUAUUCAUCUGUAAUGGACAUAGUUAUGUUGUCUUUCUUCUCUUUAGCCCUUUAGAUCACUUGGUACUAGAACCCAACAAAACAAAAGUGUUUCCAACUUUUCACAACUCAAGAGUGUUUGCUAUCAGAAUAUAUAGUUGUCUAUCCAUGCAAAAUGAAAAGUUAUUAUUUUUUCCUUAAAGGUGGCAUUUUUUUAUCUAACAAUGAUCAUAACUUUUGGUGAAACAUAUGUACCUAUUAAAUGGACUUGAUUACUGCAAAGUUUGUUGAGCUUAUGAUGAAAAAAAACCAACACAAAACCAGCCAGAAAAAUUGUUAAAAAUUACUGUGAGUUAAAAACAGGUAAUGGGAAGAGGUGGAGAAAUGAACUGGCAAGAAAGGGAUUUAGUAUUUGUACAUUUCUACCCAGGAUAAGAGGAAGGAUAACAUUUUUUAAUUUUUUAAAUCCUUCUUUCUUCUGGCAUCAACUUUGCCAAACAGGGAAUAAACUUACUUGCUGUAAUGGCAACCUUUUCCUAAAAUUAGUGUUUUUGUGCAGGAAUAGCAGAUUGGCACUCCGUUCUCCAAACUGUGUUCAGGCUUACAAUCAGAAGCUAUACUACGUGGCAGUAGGCAGGAUCCUAGAAAUUUGAUGAUUUUAAAAACUUGCCUUCCAUGCUUCAGCCUGGAAAACAAAUAUGCCUGCAUUUCAGAUAGUCUAUCUUCUACAAAUUAUAAUUAGCCUCAUCUUGGGUUUUUUUCAUUUCCCCCCUUAUAUAUCUUUCCUUUUUCUGCUUCUUUUGGUUUCUCAGUUCUGUUGUGCUUUCCCUUUUGUUUUCUUCAAAGUUUUAUUCCAGGGAAGCUUUUCUCUUCUUAUUUCCUUUGCUUAAUUACUUUUCUCUUCUUUCCUCCUUCUUGUAGGUAGAAAGAGCAGCCUGAGACUGCACUAAGCACAAUCAUGAACUCUAUUUACGUUUCAUUUUCUGUUUUUAUACACCUUUACAUAUAAAGUGUUUACUAGCUUCCAUUUUUCUAUUGUAAUUCUUUGGAUCAAAAUAAUGGUACUGAUUAAGCCACCUUGUUUUCUUCAUAGGCAUGAUUUUUAAGGCACAUGGUUCUCUAGAGAAACAUGACAUAUUAUUGAAAUAUAAUAUAUUAAUAUAAAUAAUAAUAAGAUAUUGUAGAAAACUGUAAUAUUUGCUUUAAAAAAAACCCUUAUAUAAUAAGUAAUACCUAUGAAGACUAGUUAUGGUUGAUAUGUUCCUCUUCUGCUACUUCUGGUGUAUUUCACUAGUACUCUGUCAUUUGGAAAAACAAAGUUUUAGUGUCCUACUGUAACAUAAUAUUGUAUUUAUUACUAUUUACAUAUACAUAAUUCAGCUUUACUACUUUUUUUUUAAGUUAACCAUGUUAUUUGUUGGUAAGAUGUGAAUAGUAUUAUCUCUAGCACUGCAGUAACUCAGUGUUUUCAAUAAAGAGGAAACUUUAACUUUCUUUUUUUCCCA